GACAGAGGUCCCAAGCGUUAGGCGGAAUCACUGGGCUUAAAGCGUGUGUAGGCGGACUUAUUAGUACCUUGUGAAAUCCCACGGCUUAACCGUGGAACUGCUUGGUAUACUGUAAGUCUUGGGCCAUCUAGGGGCGAGCGGAACAAACGGUGGAGCGGUGAAAUGCGUAGAUAUCGUUUGGAACGCCAAUGGUGAAAACAGCUCGCUGGGGAUGUGCCGACGCUGAGACACGAAAGCCAGGGGAGCGAACGGG
rnacentral:rRNA from 1 species